UGGUUGGGAUUUUUCAAUCUUUGAUGCACCAAAAUCACCAUUGAUAUCUCAUCAUCUUUGUCUUCAUACACAAAGGUCAUAAAAAGCCGAUGAAAUGCUCUUUUGAUGUGUAUUGUCAACAUGGCAUUUCGUGGUUGGAUCAACUACGUGUAUUUUACUAAGUAAACUCAACAAAGUAUAGUACGUCCUUGUGAUUUAUGUGAGUCGGAUUUGAGGUCUUUCACUUACAAGUGAAGAGAAUACUACUAAACGAUAACAUUAAUUGUCAUAUUUUCCUUACUUAUUGGAACAUAAAGUGUGAUGUUGACAUAUCAUUGAAGAAAGUUGGGAUUCCACCGUAUAACCAAUUGGCAAUAUGAGAAGUAGCCCGAUCUCUUAUAAGUCCAUGCAAAGUCUCUCUUUUCAUCAAUAUAAGACAUAUUCUCAAUAAUCAUAUGAGCUAAAUUUUCAUAUUUUAUAAAUUUAGGCUAAAUAUUAGCUAUAAUUUUUGUUUCUUUUCUUCUUUGAGAUGCAUUAAGCUAUAUCCCUAUAAAAUUUAUAAAUUACGAAAUGAAGAUUCAAAUUUAAGUCCAACGAGAGGGGCAUAAUGAUCUAACUAACUUAUCUACGCUUAGGUAGUGCAUGAUAGAUUUCAAAAACACAAUGUUAAUUAAUUCAAAUAUUUCCAAAAGAUGUUAAAAAAAAGAAAGAAGAGAGUGAUCCAAAUGGGAGUCCACCAAGAAGUAGAGAUAAAAAGGGCAUGUACCUUUUGGAGGGUUGCUUAAGCUCCCCAUCUUUUUGUCUUAAUAUUAGCAAGGUA
rnacentral:lncRNA from 1 species